GGUCCUACGGGAGGCAGCAGUGGGGAAUAUUGCGCAGUGGGCGAAAGCCUGACGCAGCGACGCCGCGUGAGGGGUGAAGGUCUUCGGAUCGUAAACCUCUGUCAGCAGGGAAGAACGGUCACUGUGCUAAUCAGCAGUGAAUUGACGGUACCUGCAAAGGAAGCACCGGCUAACUCCGUGCCAGCAGCCGCGGUAAUACGGAGGGUGCAAGCGUUAAUCGGAAUUACUGGGCGUAAAGCGCUCGUAGGCGGUAUGUCAAGUCAAGGGUGAAAUCCCCGCGCUCACCGUAGGAACUGCCUUUUAAA
rnacentral:rRNA from 1 species